rnacentral:rRNA from 1 species
GAUGAACGCUGGCGGCGUGCCUCAAACGUGCAAGUCGAGCGAGGCUAUGAAUUACCGCAAGGUAAGGCAUAGCCUAGCGGCGAACGGGUGAGUAACACGUGGGUAACCUACCUGGAAGACAGGGAUAACGAUUCGAAAGGGUCGCUAAUACCUGAUAAUAUCCGUCUGCCGGAUGGCGGAGGGAAGAAAGGGGAAACCCGCUUUCAGAUGGGCCCGCGUCCCAUCAGCUAGUUGGUAAGGUAAAGGCUUACCAAGGCGACGACGGGUAGCCGGUCUGAGAGGAUGUACGGCCACACUGGGACUGAGAUACGGCCCAGACUCCUACGGGAGGCAGCAGUUGGGAAUCUUAGGCAAUGGACGAAAGUCUGACCUAGCGACGCCGCGUGAGGGAAGAAGGCCUUCGGGUUGUAAACCUCUGUCAUGGGGAAGAAGGAAGUGACGGUACCCAAGAGGAAGCCCCUGCUAACUACGUGCCAGCAGCCGCGGUAAACACGAGAGUAA